rnacentral:rRNA from 1 species
CCCCUAGAUGUUCUGGGCCGCACGCGCGCUACACUGAACAGUUCAACAAGUCUUAACCUUGGCCGAUAGGUCUGGGUAAUCUUUGAACGCUGUUCGUGAUUGGGAUAGACCUUUGCAAUUAUGGGGUUUCAACGAGGAAUUCCUAGUAAACGCAAGUCAUCAGCUUGCAUUGAUUACGUCCCUGCCCUUUGUACACACCGCCCGUCGCUACUACCGAUUGAACGUUUUAGUGAGGUACUCGGACUGAGCCUCAGAAGAUUCACGUCUUUUGUGCUGCUCGGGAAGAUUCCCAAACUUGAGCGUUUAGAGGAAGUAAAAGUCGUAACA